ACCCUUCUGAAUCCGUGCCGAGAUUUCAGACACCAGACCAUCAGUACCGAUGAGACUCCCAAGAUAAGCGGAGCG
rfam:Schistosoma haematobium scaffold508_2, whole genome shotgun sequence.